ACCUCUUCCGGUGAACCUGGUUUAUCAAGACUGCUAACUGUUCAUGUAUUUAUAAAGCGACUGUGAACACCGACUGGUCAUUCUAUACAGAAGCAUAGACACCAAUACAUUACAAUUCUAAAUCCCGAGGAGCAUAACCCUCUUUCGCAUCAGCUUCAACCGACUGUAGGGAGCGGUUCGGGGAGAAGCACCACCACCUUCAGCAUUAGUGGAAGCUCUGAUGCGGUUCAAUUUUGGUGUUCAGUGAUGCUGAAUAUUGUGUUGGAUGCGGUGACCCGCCCGUCACGUACAAGGCAGAAGUGUUUGAAAGAUAAGGGCAAUGUAUUCACCCAUUAACUGCAAGCUGUGUGUACUCUCGGCAUAAUAAUAAACACAAACGAGGCAUGAAAGAGAGAUAACGAGAGAGUUAGAUGGAGAUAUUUAAUGCAUGGAUGAUACUUCGUUAUCUGAAGUUUUUUUUUUAAAUAAAAAGUAACCACAAGGGUGACCAAUAAAAGUUGUUGCAUGAAGCAAUGGUUACAUGAUCAAAGUUAUAUUUUAUGAAGUUUAUAUUGUUAAAGAAUACUACAUCCCCAGUCUCUAAAGUUCAUCUCAAAUAAUUCUGAAAUACAGAUAAAAAUACCUCCUAAUGUACAAAUCAAAUUCAGGAUAUAAAACAAAAAUCAUUCACCACGAAGAAAUUAUCAAAAGCUGUGAGUGGUGACACAAACUCUAUUUAAUGGCAGAGAAUGUGAAGAAAUUAAUCUGUCUGCUUGUCUUAUUGUUAUUUGAUCAAUUAUUUACACUUUUUCAGAAAUGCAUAUUGCUAACUUGAUAGAUAAGCCUUGGAUCAGUGUUCCUGGAAUACAAUUAAACUUUGUUAAUUGCAGUUAAAUAGAAUAUAUUUGUUAAAUGAUUUUCUUGUACUUAGUUAAACAUUUAUUUUGAUACAGCAAAUAUGUUGAAAUGCAAACAAACAGCAUAGUGAGUCAUUUUAAUGCAUAAUGCUUUAAUUUUUUCCUUAUUUCCAACGGCAAAUUCAAUUAAGCAAAAUAGCUAUGUUCUAGACAAUUUUACAUUUCGACUGAUUGAUCUGUCAUGCCUUUGAAAAAGAAAACUAAAGUCACACCAAAUAAUUCUCCUUAAAGCAGCAAUUUACAAACAUAAAAAUAACAUUUAUAUAGUACUAUUAUCCGGAUAUAAACCACUUUCAAAUUUAAUACAAUUACAAAACAAAAAUAUAAUAUUGAGACUAGGAUGAAAUAUCAAGUGCUCAUUGUUUCCAAUCAAACAUCUGCGUUAACUUAGAUCCAGUGUUAUUCUUUACUCACUAUGUUAUAAAACAAGAGGUAGUCAUACAGGAAUUACAAAUCUUGUUAGCCUCUAGUUUUACUGAGUUGUUAGAUCAAAUUCGUACCCAACACACACAAUUUCUAAGUUUUAUUUUCUUUUGUUCUUUGAUGUAGUUAUGAUGACUCAUACUGUUUCCAUUGUUUAAUGAAAGUUGUUGACCUGGUCUAUAUCAUAGAAUCAUAAAAUGGUUACUGCAUAGGAGACCAUUUAGCCUGUUACAUUUGUACUGACAAAUACAAUUCAACUAUUACCAUGUCUUUUCUCCAUAGCUAAUGAUUCAGUUCUCUUUUGAAACCCCUUAAUAUUGAAGUUACCUCCACCAAAUUCUCAGAAAGUGCUUUGUGGAUGUAAAUUGCUGGGUGUAAAGAUUUCCGCCAUUCCUUCUGUUGUCAAUCAUUUUGCAUCACUCUCUUCUGGUUUAGGGGCUUUCCACCAAUCAGAACAAUUUCCACUUACUGCAUCUGUACAAACCUCUUAUGAUCCCAAAUACUUAAUCUAAUCUCCUUUCAAUCUAUUCUGCUCCUUGAUAGCAUCCAUAGCUUCUCUAGUCUAUUCACAUUAUGGAUGUUCUUUAUCUCUGGAACUGUUUAGAGGAUUAUGUUUUGCACUCUUAUGUACCUUCCAUCCUUCACAAAGUCUGGUACCCAGAAAUUAUUUUUCAGUAGAGGCUGAAACAGUGUUUUAUACAAAUUUAUCAUAACUUUCCUAUUUUUGCACUCUAUGACCUUGUUUAUAAGGUUCAAGAUCCCAUUUGGAAUUUAUAAUUGCUCUUGCAGUCUGCUGUAUCACAUCCAAUGAUUCAUGCGCCUUGGGCUCUUCUG